GCAGUAGCUCAGUAUGAAAGCAUCUGCCUUAGGUGCAGAAGGUUCAGAGUUCAAUCCCUGGCAUCUCCA